AGUCGAGCGAGCGGAACUACAGAUUUACUUCGGUAAUGACGUUAGGAAAGCGAGCGGCGGAUGGGUGAGUAACACGUGGGGAACCUGCCCCAUAGUCUGGGAUACCACUUGGAAACAGGUGCUAAUACCGGAUAAGAAAGCAGAUCGCAUGAUCAGCUUUUAAAAGGCGGCGUAAGCUGUCGCUAUGGGAUGGCCCCGCGGUGCAUUAGCUAGUUGGUAAGGUAAAGGCUUACCAAGGCGAUGAUGCAUAGCCGAGUUGAGAGACUGAUCGGCCACAUUGGGACUGAGACACGGCCCAAACUCCUACGGGAGGCAGCAGUAGGGAAUCUUCCACAAUGGACGCAAGUCUGAUGGAGCAACGCCGCGUGAGUGAAGAAGGUUUUCGGAUCGUAAAGCUCUGUUGUUGGUGAAGAAGGAUAGAGGUAGUAACUGGCCUUUAUUUGACGGUAAUCAACCAGAAAGUCACGGCUAACUACGUGCCAGCAGCCGCGGUAAUACGUAGGUGGCAAGCGUUGUCCGAAUUUAUUGGGCGUAAAGCGAGCGCAGGCGGAAGAAUAAGUCUGAUGUGAAAGCCCUCGGCUUAACCGAGGAACUGCAUCGGAAACUGUUUUUCUUG
rnacentral:rRNA from 1 species